AGGUACGAGAAGCACAAUUAGCUCAAUACAACUACAUCUUGGUUGUCGGAGAGGAGGAAGCAAAUACUGGACAGCUCAAGUAUGCCUGAGCUACAUUUCUGAGAAUUGUGAUUAAGGUUGCAUCAUCUACUAAUCUUGGAGGCUUUCUUCAGCAUUAUCUCUUAAGAGGUGCCANUGGUCUCUGAUCUGUCUGGAGAAGUUAUAANUACAUUAAUAGUAUAACAUCAUUAUGUUAUUGGACCAAAUAUAAUUUGCUUUUCAUUUCUUCAUCAGUAAAAUAUGUUAUACAUCAGUGUUUACGCCCAUUUGUUGCUCCAUUGUUUAUGGAUCAUGUAGAGCUAUCUUUCGAUGAUUCUCUUUACUACCUGUGGAAAGCUGAGUUGAUUUGUGAUUCUAGGUAAGUGUGCGAGUUAGAGNCAAGGGAGAUCAUAACGUUAUGAGUAUAGNGAACCUACUUAAACAUUUCAGAGACGAAGCUGCAGCUUACCAUUGAUACUUUGCUCGUGAAAACUGUUGAAGAAAAUUUUCUGCCCCAAAUACCUUAGUUUUUACACAUUUGUGUGUGCAUUAUUUAUAUUUUUAAUUCAACUUAGCUAUUUAUCCUGGUUUUAUAUAUGAUUUGAAUGAUGUAUUGCAUUGCCAUCACGCUACUAAGAUAACGGGACUUUUGGUUGCACCUUGAGCGUAGUCAACUAGAUCAUUGUCUUGAAGUUUUUCCGUUCCUACCUUAUAUAAGCAAUUCUGUAGUCAGUCGAAUUUACAUGCCUCUUAAAUUUUCUAUUUUCUUUGAAGUAGUUAACUGACUUUUGAAGAAAAUAUACCUUUUGGAGUCGGUCUUCAA